rnacentral:rRNA from 1 species
GUGGGGAAUAUUGGACAAUGGGCGAAAGCCUGAUCCAGCCAUGCCGCGUGUGUGAAGAAGGUCUUCGGAUUGUAAAGCACUUUAAGUUGGGAGGAAGGGCAGUAAGUUAAUACCUUGCUGUUUUGACGUUACCGACAGAAUAAGCACCGGCUAACUUCGUGCCAGCAGCCGCGGUAAUACGAAGGGUGCAAGCGUUAAUCGGAAUUACUGGGCGUAAAGCGCGCGUAGGUGGUUCAGCAAGUUGGAGGUGAAAUCCCCUGGCUCAACCUGGGAACUGCCUCCAAAACUACUGGGCUAGAGUACGGUAGAGGGUAGUGGAAUUUCCUGUGUAGCGGUGAAAUGCGUAGAUAUAGGAAGGAACACCAGUGGCGAAGGCGACUACCUGGACUGAUACUGACACUGAGGUGCGAAAGCGUGGGGAGCAAACAGGAUUAGAUACCCUUGUAGUCC